UACGUAGGGUGCAAGCGUUGUCCGGAAUCAUUGGGCGUAAAGAGCGUGUAGGCGGUCCGGUAAGUCGGCUGUGAAAGUCCAGGGCUCAACCCUGGGAUGCUGGUCGAUACUGCCGGACUAGAGUUCGGAAGAGGCGAGUGGAAUUCCCGGUGUAGCGGUGAAAUGCGCAGAUAUCGGGAGGAACACCUAUGGCGAAGGCAGGUUACUGCCAAUAUAUUGACGCUGAUGGACGAAAGCGUGGGGAGCGAACAGG
rnacentral:rRNA from 1 species